UUCCUUUUUCUACUGCUGACUGCAUCCCUCUUAUCUGCUCGCCACCUCUGUUGCAGUUCCAUCCCUGACUAAGUUAUUAUGUCGAUUCCUGCCAUUUCUACUACUGUUUCGCACAUUAUGGCCUCAUGUUUAAGUAAAGGUUGAACCAACUUUAUCUAUAUGUAUGUAGUUUUCACCAUUCAUUCAUGAAGAAAGUCACCUUUUCUUCUUCUUGGGCACUACCUUGCAACAAGAUUGAUCCGUUUGGAUCUUGGUCCAUGAUGUCCUUUUUCUUGAUUUUGACGAUUGGAUCUCUCUAUGAAUAGAAAAGGGGUACUUCGGGUCGGGAGUACUAAGGUCUAAGCACUAGUGAUAUGGCAAAGGGGGGUUUGCGAAUGAGUACGGGUCGAUAAACUAUGGCAAGUCACUUGCCAAUGCACAAGAAAGAUCUUCUCCAUAAGCGGCCUUUGAAUAUCGAAAACAGUUUUAAUCAUGAUAGACUGGGUCGGGAUAUUGAUUCUAAGUUUUUGGUUGUGAACUACCUGCCCUCAUUAAGGAUGGCCUUGAAGAUUCUAUCAUGAUAAUUAUGGUUUUAUAAUUAUUUUAUUUUUAAAAUUUUAUUUCCUUUUGCUUUUCUAGAGUGAAAUCUCAUCAUAAUACAACAACAUCAAGCUUUUAUC